rnacentral:misc_RNA from 1 species
GAAAUGCGAUAAGUAAUGUGAAUUGCAGAAUUCAGUGAAUCAUCGAAUCUUUGAACGCACAUUGCGCCCGCCAGUAUUCUGGCGGGCAUGCCUGUCCGAGCGUCGUUUCAACCAUCAAGCCCCCGGGCUUGUGUUGGGGACCUGCGGCUGCCCGCAGGCCCUGAAAACCAGUGGCGGGCUCGCUGUCACACCGAGCGUAGUAGCAAUCACCUCGCUCAGGGCGUGCUGCGGGUUCCGGCCGUUAAACAGCCUUACAAAACCCAAGGUUGACCUCGGAUCAGGUAGGAAGACCCGCUGAACUUAAGC